AAAAAAAAACCCAUAUGAAUACUAAGGCGCCCGUACCGGAAACCGACACAGGUGGGUGGGCAUAAAUGUGCCAAGGCGCGUGAGUGAAACCUCGUUAAGGAACUCGGCAAUCUAGCCCCGUAACUUCGGAAGAAGGGGUGCCCACUUUUAGUGGGUCGCAGUGAAAUGGGUGUACCGACUGUUUAUCAAAAACACAGCACUCUGCUAAGUCGUAAGACAACGUAUAAGGUGUGACACGUGACCAAUGCGGAAAGAUUACGGUAAGUGGUUAGGCGCAAGCCGAAGCUACGAGCCCAAGUCCCCGUGAAUGUCGGCCGUAACAAUAACGGUCCUAAGGUAGCGAAAUUCCUUGUCGGGUAAGUUCCGACCUGCACGAAUCGUGUAACGAGUGCACCGCUGUCUCAACGAGGAGCUCAGCGAAGUUGUAAUGGCGGUGAAGAUGCCGCCUACCCGCAGCAGGACGGAAAGACCCUAUGCACCUUUACUGUACGCUGUUACUGUGUUUUCGAUUUUCAUGCUUAGCGUAAGUGGGAGACUUUGAAUCGCUUCUUUCGGGGAGCGACGAGUCGUCAAUGAAACACCACCCUUGGAAAUUGGAAACUCUAACCCUCACCCAUGAUCUGGGGAGGGGACACUGGCAGCCGGUCAGUUUUACUGGGGCGGUAUCCUCCUAAAGAGUAACGGAGGAGUACGAAGGUUGGCUCAACCUGGUUGGUAAUCAGGUGACGAGUACAUGGAUAUAAGCCAGCCUAACUGUGAGACCUACAAGUCGAGCAGAUGCGAAAGCAGGUCCAAGUGAUCCGGUGGUUGAAAGUGGAAUCGCCAUCGCUCAACGGACAAAAGGUACGCUAGGGAUAACAGGCUGAUCGAGUCCAAGAGCUCAUAUCGACGACUCGGUUUGGCACCUCGAUGUCGGCUCAUCACAUCCUGGGGCUGGAGAAGGUCCCAAGGGUCCGGCUGUUCGCCGGUUAAAGUGGUACGCGAGCUGGGUUCAGAACGUCGCGAGACAGUUCGGUCCUUAUCCGCUGUGGGCGCAGGAAAGUUGAGGGGUUUAAACCUUAGUACGAGAGGACCGGGUUUAACGAACCUCUGGUGUUCCAGUUGUCGUGUCAACGGCAGUGCUGGGCAGCUACGUUCGGAAGAGAUAAGCGCUGAAAGCAUCUAAGCGCCAAGCUCCUCCCAAGAUUGACUUUCCCUGAAGAGUCGUGGUAGACCACCACGUUGAUAGGCCAUAGGUAUAAGCGCAGUAAUGUGUUGAGCUUAGUGGUACUAAUAACUCGUUCGGCUUGAUCGA
rnacentral:rRNA from 1 species